rnacentral:rRNA from 1 species
AACUUUCAACAAUGGAUCUCUUGGCUCUGGCAUCGAUGAAGAACGCAGCGAAAUGCGAUAAGUAGUGUGAAUUGCAGAAUUCAGUGAAUCAUCGAAUCUUUGAACGCACAUUGCGCCCCGUGGUAUUCCGCGGGGCAUGCCUGUUCGAGCGUCAUCU